rnacentral:lncRNA from 1 species
UCUCCUUCUUCUUCUCCUUCUCCUCCUCCUUCUUCUCCUUCUCCUCCUCCUCCUCCUCCUCCUCCUCCUUCUUCUUCUUCUUCUUCUUCUUCUUCUUCUGCUUUUUCUUGUACUUGUUCUUCUCUUCUUUCUUCUUCUCCUUAGCUUUUUUCCCCAAGAAAGACAUACUUUGCUAAUUAUCCUCCAAAAUGACAUAAUAAGCUUAUUUAGGUAAAAAAUCACCAGAAC